CCUACGGGAGGCAGCAGUGGGGAAUCUUGCGCAAUGGGCGAAAGCCUGACGCAGCGACGCCGCGUGAGGGAUGAAGGUCUUCGGAUCGUAAACCUCUGUCAGCAGUGAAGAACGGUCGCUGUGCUAAUCAGCCGUGAAUUGACGGUACCUGCAUAGAAAGCACCGGCUAACUCCGUGCCAGCAGCCGCGGUAAUACGGAGGGUGCGAGCGUUAAUCGGAAUUACUGGGCGUAAAGCGCUCGUAGGCGGUAUGUCAAGUCAAGGGUGAAAUCCCCGCGCUCAACGUGGGAACUGCCUUUGAAACUGGCAAACUGGAGUGUGUGAGAGGAUAGUGGAAUUCCAGGUGUAGGAGUGACAGCCGUAGAUAUCUGGAGGAACAUCAGUGGCGAAGGCGACUAUCUGGCACAUAACUGACGCUGAGGAGCGAAAGCGUGGGUAGCAAACAGGAUUAGAUACCCGAGUAGUC
rnacentral:rRNA from 1 species